rnacentral:ncRNA from 1 species
GUGAUUGCUGUGAACGGGAAGAGUAGACCAGGACGCCUUGGCAGAGAGGAGAAUCAGUAGCUGCGAGAUUCUCUAAGGAAGGGAUUGGUCGAAGGUCGCCCGGGAGUUGUUUCGGUGAAUGCACAUAUUUUGUGCUGUAGCCGCGACCGGCUAACAACCGUUAUCUUGUCAGAGUGAAUGCGGCACUUCGGCAAUGGAUGCGAAGGCUGCAUUAACAAAGGUGGUACCGCGAAACAAUCCUUUCGUCCUUUGG